ACAGCCUUCUGAAAGGAAGAUUAAUACAAGAUGGCAUCAUGAGUCCGCAUGUUCACAUGAUUAAAGGUAUUCCGGUAGACGAUGGGGAUGCGUUCCAUUAGAUAGUAGGCGGGGUAACGGCCCACCUAGUCUUCGAUGGAUAGGGGUUCUGAGAGGAAGGUCCCCCACAUUGGAACUGAGACACGGUCCAAACUCCUACGGGAGGCAGCAGUGAGGAAUAUUGGUCAAUGGGCGAGAGCCUGAACCAGCCAAGUAGCGUGAAGGAUGACUGCCCUAUGGGUUGUAAACUUCUUUUAUAAAGGAAUAAAGUCGGGUAUGCAUACCCGUUUGCAUGUACUUUAUGAAUAAGGAUCGGCUAACUCCGUGCCAGCAGCCGCGGUAAUACGGAGGAUCCGAGCGUUAUCCGGAUUUAUUGGGUUUAAAGGGAGCGUAGAUGGAUGUUUAAGUCAGUUGUGAAAGUUUGCGGCUCAACCGUAAAAUUGCAGUUGAUACUGGAUAUCUUGAGUGCAGUUGAGGCAGGCGGAAUUCGUGGUGUAGCGGUGAAAUGCUUAGAUAUCACGAAGAACUCCGAUUGCGAAGGCAGCCUGCUAAGCUGCAACUGACAUUGAGGCUCGAAAGUGUGGGUAUCAAACAGGAUUAGAUACCCUGGUAGUCCACACGGUAAACGAUGAAUACUCGCUGUUUGCGAUAUACAGCAAGCGGCCAAGCGAAAGCGUUAAGUAUUCCACCUGGGGAGUACGCCGGCAACGGUGAAACUCAAAGGAAUUGACGGGGGCCCGCACAAGCGGAGGAACAUGUGGUUUAAUUCGAUGAUACGCGAGGAACCUUACCCGGGCUUAAAUUGCAGAUGAAUUACGGUGAAAGCCGUAAGCCGCAAGGCAUCUGUGAAGGUGCUGCAUGGUUGUCGUCAGCUCGUGCCGUGAGGUGUCGGCUUAAGUGCCAUAACGAGCGCAACCCUUGUUGUCAGUUACUAACAGGUUUCGCUGAGGACUCUGACAAGACUGCCAUCGUAAGAUGUGAGGAAGGUGGGGAUGACGUCAAAUCAGCACGGCCCUUACGUCCGGGGCUACACACGUGUUACAAUGGGGGGUACAGAGGGCCGCUACCACGCGAGUGGAUGCCAAUCCCAAAAACCUCUCUCAGUUCGGACUGGAGUCUGCAACCCGACUCCACGAAGCUGGAUUCGCUAGUAAUCGCGCAUCAGCCACGGCGCGGUGAAUACGUUCCCGGGCCUUGUACACACCGCCCGUCAAGCCAUGGGAGCCGGGGGUACCUGAAGUGCGUAACCGCGAGGAGCGCCCUAGGGUAAAACUGGUGACUGGGGCUAAGUCGUAACAAGGUAGCCGUACCGGAAGGUGCGGCUGGAACACCUCCUUUCU
rnacentral:rRNA from 1 species